AGAGUUUGAUCCUGGCUCAGAUUGAACGCUGGCGGCAUGCCUAACACAUGCAAGUUGAAUGCGAAAGCGCCUUCGGGUGUGAGUAGAGUGGUGGACGGGUGAGUAAUGUGUGGGAAUUUGUCCUGCAGUGGGGGAUAAUUUGAGGAAAUUUGGGUUAAUAUUGUAUAUGUUUUAUGGGAGAAAGGGGGUUUUUGGGCUCUCGCUGCAGGAUGAGCCCGCGUCCGAUUAGUUUGUUGGUAGGGUAAUGGUUUAUUAAGGUGAUGAUUGGUAGUUGGUCUGAGAGGAUGAUCAGCCAUACUGGGAUUGAGAUAUGGCCCAGAUUUUUAUGGGAGGUAGUAGUGGGGAAUAUUGGACAAUGGGCGAAAGCCUGAUCCAGCAAUGCCGCGUGUGUGAAGAAGGCCUGUGGGUUGUAAAGCACUUUUAGUGGGGAAGAAAAGUGUGAGGUUAAUAUUUUUGUGUGUUGAUGUUAUUCACAGAAGAAGCACCGGCUAACUCCGUGUUAGUAGUUGUGGUAAUACGGAGGGUGCAAGCGUUAAUCGGAAUUACUGGGUGUAAAGUGUAUGUAGGCGGCUAGGUCAGUCAGAUGUGAAAGUUUUGGGUUUAAUUUGGGAAUUGUAUUUGAUAUUGCCUGGCUUGAGUAUGGUAGAGGGAGGUGGAAUUUUAGGUGUAGUGGUGAAAUGUGUAGAUAUUUGGAGGAAUAUUAGUGGUGAAGGUGGUUUUUUGGAUUAAUAUUGACGCUGAGGUGCGAAAGUGUGGGGAGUAAAUAGGAUUAGAUAUUUUGGUAGUUUAUGUUGUAAACGAUGUCGACUAGCCGUUGGAUCCAUUUAAGGGUUUAGUGGCGCAGUUAAUGCGAUAAGUCGACCGCCUGGGGAGUAUGGCCGUAAGGUUAAAACUCAAAGGAAUUGAUGGGGGUUUGUAUAAGCGGUGGAGCAUGUGGUUUAAUUCGAUGCAAUGUGAAGAAUUUUACCAGCCCUUGACAUCCUCGGAAUUUAGCAGAGAUGCUUUGGUGCCUUCGGGAGCCGAGUGACAGGUGCUGCAUGGCUGUCGUCAGCUCGUGUUGUGAGAUGUUGGGUUAAGUUUUGUAAUGAGCGCAACCCUUGUCCUUAGUUGUUAGUAUAUAAUGGUGGGAAUUUUAAGGAGACUGCCGGUGAUAAACCGGAGGAAGGUGGGGAUGACGUCAAGUCAUCAUGGCCCUUAUGGGCUGGGCUACACACGUGCUACAAUGGUCGGUACAGAGGGUUGCGAAGCAGUGAUGUGGAGUCAAUCCCAGAAAACCGAUCGUAGUCCGGAUUGCAGUUUGUAAUCUGAUUGCAUGAAGUCGGAAUCGCUA
rnacentral:rRNA from 1 species